rnacentral:rRNA from 13 species
UUUAAUAAACAUCUUAAAAAAAAAGCACUCGUUCUCGUCCAAUCACGAAAGUUAAGCAACGUAGGGCACGGAUAGAACUUAGAUGGGUGACCGCUUGGGAACUCCGUGUGGUGUUGGCU